GAGCGUUGAGAGCUGCUGAAAACCGCAUCCCGACCGGACGUUUCCCAUCUCAGAGAAUUCAGCACUGAGAUGGGUUUAAGUCAGUGGCACAAACAUCAAACAUGAGUUGCAGGACUGCGACCACAGCAGCGUUAUAAAGACUACCUGACGUGCUGCUGAAACCUGACAGAGGGGGAGGGGGGGGUGACGAGGGCCCCCAACCCCACCCUGCGCUCGCAUGUUCCAGAGCAGGUGAGAAGCAUUACCAGAGGCAGCAGCUGGACCUCUGCUGCACACAUGUGCGCCAGGAUGUGGGCCGGAGCCAGAGCUCGCCACACUCACAACUGGUCAGUAUUGUUAACACUCUGGUUUUUGACCACAAAGAACAGCACUUAAAAAGCUGAAAC